rnacentral:rRNA from 1 species
AUUGAACGCUGGCGGCAGGCCUAACACAUGCAAGUCGAACGGUAACAGGAAGAAGCUUGCUUCUUUGCUGACGAGUGGCGGACGGGUGAGUAAUGUCUGGGAAACUGCCUGAUGGAGGGGGAUAACUUCUGGAAACGGUAGCUAAUACCGCAUAACGUCGCAAGACCAAAGAGGGGGACCUUCGGGCCUCUUGCCAUCGGAUGUGCCCAGAUGGGAUUAGCUAGUAGGUGGGGUAACGGCUCACCUAGGCGACGAUCCCUAGCUGGUCUGAGAGGAUGACCAGCCACACUGGAACUGAGACACGGUCCAGACUCCUACGGGAGGCAGCAGUGGGGAAUAUUGCACAAUGGGCGCAAGCCUGAUGCAGCCAUGCCGCGUGUAUGAAGAAGGCCUUCGGGUUGUAAAGUACUUUCAGCGGGGAGGAAGGGAGUAAAGUUAAUACCUUGGCUCAUUGACGUUACCCGCAGAAGAAGCACCGGCUAACUCCGUG